rnacentral:rRNA from 1 species
AUGAAGAAGGCGGACGAGUUGGGCAUCUUGUGCAACACCAAGAUCUGCAUGCUAGUGUAUGAUGAGGGCACCGCGGCGCCGGACGUUUACCCAUCCCACAUGGAGGUGGUGGCUAUCCUGAAUAGGUACAAGAACAUGCCCGACAUGGCGCGGUUCAAGAAGGUGGUGACCCAGGAAGAGUUCCUCACCAAGCAAGUCGCCAAGCUCCAGCAUGAGGCCGACAAGCUCCGGCGUGAGCGUGAGGACCGUGAUACCAGGAUCCUUCUUCACAAGGCCAUGCUCAGUGCCAACCUGAAUGUUGAGGAGGUUGCCAGGGUUGGCUAUAAGUUGUAG